GGGCGCCCGCGAGGGGUGGUCAGCGGCGGACGGCGGAGUACACGUAGCUAACCCACUCCUGGGACGGGGAUAACCACCCGAAAGGGUGGCUAAUACCCGAUGAGGUCUCCAUCUGAGAUGGUGGAGAUGAAAGGUGGGCCUCUGCGGAAGCAAGCUCAUGCCUGGGGAGGGGGCUGCGGCCUAUCAGGUAGUUGGUGGGGUAAGAGCCCACCAAGCCUAUGACGGGUAGCCGGCCUGAGAGGGUGACCGGCCCGAGGGACACUGAGACACGGGUCCCACUCCUACGGGAGGCAGCAGGCUAGAAAAUUGGGCAAUGGGGGAAACCCUGACCCAGUGACGCCGCGUGCGGGAAGAAGCCCUUCGGGGUGUAAACCGCUGUCGUGCGGGACGAAGGGUGGUGAGGCGAACAGUCUCAUUGCCUGACAGUACCGCAGGAGGAAGCCCAGGCUAACCUCGUGCCAGCAGCCGCGGUAAUACGGGGUGGGCGAGCGUUGCCCGGAAUUACUGGGUUUAAAGGGGGUGUAGGCGGUCCAGAAAGUCAGGUGUGUAAUCCAACCGCUCAACGGUUGGGCUGCACCUGAUACUUCUGGGCUAGAGGGCGGUAGAGGAGAGCGGAACUCCCGGUGUAGCGGUGAAAUGCGUAGAUAUCGGGAGGAACGCCGGUGGCGAAGGCGGCUCUCUGGGCCGUACCUGACGCUGAGGCCCGAAAGCUGGGGGAGCGAAAGGGAUUAGAUACCCCUGUAGUCCCAG
rnacentral:rRNA from 1 species